rnacentral:misc_RNA from 1 species
GAUGAGGAACGUAGCGAAUUGCGAUACGUAAUGUGAAUUGCAGAAUUCAGUGAAUCAUCGAAUCUUUGAACGCACCUUGCACCCUUUGGUAUUCCGAAGGGUAUGCCCGUUUGAGUGUCAUUGUAAUCUCACACCUAAUGUCUUUUGCGAGGCAGAAGUGGACUUGGGAGUUGCAGUGUUACAACUGCUCGCCUAAAAUGUAUUAGCGGACUCUUUACUUGUGCCGUAGUCGGUGUGAUAAUUGUCUUCACCGCUGCAUUUGCAACGUCCAAGUCUGUAGUUGGCUUCAAAUUGUCUUCGGACAACUAUUGACAACUUGACCUCAAAUCGGGUAGGACUACCCGCUGAACUUAAGCAUAUCAAUAAGCGGAGGA